AAAUUCAUCUUCACUCUGUUUAUCCUUUUACUCUUGAGUUUUCUUCUUCUGUUUCCAAAUAGAAUUCUUACAGAAAACACCAGAACAAUGAAGCACCUGGCUGUCAAAUUUCUUUGCUCCAGAGUGAAGGAAGACAACCAUGAACCAUGAAUUCUUGGCAGUGUGACUGCAUGGAUUGCACAACCCAGACAACACUAAUAAUCUCAUGAAUAAAUCAGAACCCAUGAAUAA